rnacentral:rRNA from 1 species
GAUCUUGGCUCAGGAUGAACGCUAGCGACAGGCCUAACACAUGCAAGUCGAGGGGCAGCGGAGAGGUAGCAAUACCUUUGCCGGCGACCGGCGCACGGGUGGGUAACACGUAUGCAAUCCACCUGUAACAGGGGGAUAACCCGGAGAAAUCCGGACUAAUACCCCAUAAUAUGGGCGCUCCGCAUGGAGAGCCCAUUAAAGAGAGCAAUUUUGGUUACAGACGAGCAUGCGCUCCAUUAG